CUCAUUGCACAGUGUGCUCCUGGGCUUGUGAACCUCACACUUCUCUCUGUGCAGGGUCCAUUCUCUGUUCACAUCACACUUUGAAACUGGCGGUUCCUGGACCCCUAUGGGAGGACUUCUCCAACUUCCUGGACUGAGCAUAGGCUAUUUCACAGAAACCAUCAUUAUGUUUCCAGUGAAAAUCACUUUGUAGUUAUGUGAAUACCUUUUUUGUGACUUUAACUGCAUAAAAAAUCACUGUUGCUCUUAUCACUACGGUGCUUGAAACUCAUUCCCCUGUGAGCAAGAUUAUGGCAAUUCCUUGACCUCCAGCACCUCCUGAUCACACUAUAUUAUACCAUCAGCUGAUCUCCCUAGGACACUGGAUGACCAAGCCAGCAAAUUCAUCCCCUUAAUUUUCCAUGCCUGAGCUCAGACAGAUCCUUAUAAUGACAUGAUAUUUACCUGGUAAACAUUUACAGCCCCAAACGUUAGUUAUUAACACAGGAGGUGGUUGGUAUUUGUACUAAAGCACUAAUUAAAUGCUCAUUUCCAGUACAGUUAUAUUUAUUUCCCAGAGCACAGAAUGAAUUAUGGAAGUGACACAUUUCAGAGAGCAGAAAUAUUUGCUGGGGGAAUAUUUCUUCUGAGACUUCUUCUUCCUAUUCCCUUUAUGUUAACACCUGGGACAGUCCAAUCCUUAUCUUCGUGUUUCCACUAAGGUGAAUUCAACCACUGCACUUCAAUCAACUUCAGCAUGAGCCUGAUUAACUCAGAGCAUUGGCGGUCUGCACUAAACAACCCAUCAUCUGGCAGUCACUCACAGUACCUGAAAAGCCCAGCCAGACCUGGACUACUUGGCCUUGAACAGAGUCUUCUGCACAAACAGCAAGGGCAAGCCUACCAUCAGGAGCUUUAAAUGGAAUCAGUUAAGGCAAAACAAGAUGAAAUUUAAAGGCCGUGAAGCAAGGUCACUUACAUCCAGAUUCAGCCAACUACAUUUAAAAUGUGGUUCAACUAAGACUCUACGUUAGCUAAGCACGCAAGUGGCCUCUCCUGAAAGUGAAGAUCCAGGCUAUAGAGUCCAUGGAGAGAAUUAAUGGCAGACCAAAUGCAGGGCUCUGAUUUGAUUGAAGUUUCAGAUCUCCACUAUUUGUAAUGGGAUAUUAUGGACCAAGCUCACCUGCGCAAACCCACAUGUAGAAAGUCACAUUUAGACCUCUUAAUCUGAGCUACUGCAAUGGUUGAAGGCUGGCUGUAGACCCAUGUGAGAUUUCUCCACCUAGUGGAUACUCCACUUCAUUAACCAUUUUAUAAAAUAUCUUCACCUUGUCUUUAGCAAUUGCUAAGUUAAGCAGCCUAAUUUCUCCACCAUUUCACUAGUCUGUCCAUGCUUUGUAGAGGGAUGAAAUGGAUGAUACACUGAGUCUUCUUCAGAUCUAAGUGUAAGAGGAACCUUUAUGUGACUUCUGGAAUCCUCACUGUACUGUCUCCAAUUUCUUCCUGUUAAAUGAUUUUUAUUUAUUCAUUUACUAAUUUAUUACUGUGAGUAUAUUUUCCAAGCCAUCAUAGAAGCAGAAUACAACAAAAUAUGAGGUGACUAGAGCAAGAAUUGUAUUGAGAAAAAAACCUUAAAACUGUGAACAUUGCUGGACAUAAGGGUGCUUUGAGAGAGCUCUGACUGCAAGAUGCCACCAGAAAAAUGAUUUUUUUUCUUAUUUCUGUCCAUAUUAGAGGAAGAAAUAAAUUUCUAACUGUGACACAUCCUUCUGAGCAAGCUGUUUUGGAUUAAAUCCCAUCAAAGCUUUAUGUAUUUUGACAGGUCUGACAUGGUUAAGCACAGGCAUGGGCUUGAACAGUUUCACUCCAAAAAGAAAUUUAAUUAGAAGUUACUAUAGGAUAAGAAUACUUUCCCAUGACAGAUAGAGGUAGUAGGGCUGCAGACCAGUUGACGCAUAAAGAUCUCACUUCUAUGUUAAAAAUAACUGUGCUAACUUCUAAAAUAUCAUUUUGUUAUCAUUUGAAAUACACAGCCCUUGUAAAAUGCAAUAAAGAUGCCACCCAGAGAAAGCAGAUGUCUCUCAGCACAUUGUAAUGUCAGCAUCAGCUGUUUGUUGUCUGUGAGCGCUCUGUGGGCAAGUGACAAAAGAUGGUUUCUUUAAAAUUUCAUUAAAAAAAAAAAAAAAGCUCAAUUAGAUCUUAAUUGAGCCUAUUAGGUUUUACCUUUGGGGGACAUAAUUUCACGUUUACAUUGGAG
ensembl:lncRNA